GCGGCAGUAGCUCAGUGGUAGAAACCCCGCUUCGAAUGCGGGGAGACCUGGGUUCGAUUCCCGGCUGCUUCC
rnacentral:tRNA from 1 species